CCCUUUAGUUUCUGGCAGAUUCAGCAUCUUCCUUCCUGACUUCUGACCCCAGAAUCCUGAACGCACAGGAAAAUGUUUUGAACUGCUGAUGUAGAGAAAAUGUGAACUAUAUUUGAAUGGAAACAGUCAUGCUGAUCUCUCCUGGCCUGACUGACAAGAUCGUCUCUGAUGUGUUUUCUAUAGAAUGCUGCUUUGGAUGAAAGAAUAAGCAGUACUUGGGGCUGGGUGGAUGGAUGAUGCAGCUGGCCGAGUGCAUGUUACCCUGCACCAGAUAGAAAGACAGAGUCAAGGACAGAAAGAGAGAGGGAGAGAAAGUUAUCACAGUAAUGAAGUUUCUUCCAGGCUGGUGGGCACCAGACUCCAACGCAAGUGUCACGCAGGACAAGGUUGCAGCAGAGAAGAUACAUAAAGAGUUAUUUUAAUGAUGUUCCAGUUUAAUAAGCACAGCUAUUUAGAAAUCAAAGCUGGGUUAUCUACAUUAUCAGCAGUAUGUUCUUUACGGGGUCUCUUUCUUGGGAGAGCAGUGCUUCUGCUGUGACAUGUUUCCUAAACAGCGGGCUUCCACCAUCCAGAUGUGUCCAAACCUAGUUUCUCUUCAAGGUCCAGUUCUACUUGCUGAGAGGGAAUGCUCCCCUGAGCUCAGCCAGCCCCAGCUCUGCCUACGGAAUCUCACGAAUGCCAUUCCUCGAGAAGUGCUGGGACUCCCGACACUGCUGUGUCUUACAUGUGUGUGGCUCCUCUGACCAGAUCAACUGUGUGUUUCUUGAUGCUACAAACUAACUCUUAAACCUCUUGCCCUUGAACAACUCCUAGGGCAAAGGGAGACACGCAGCUCACUCUCAAUGCAUGAUUGUUUGCAGUAAGAUGCGUUGAAAGCACUUGAUUGUUUUCUUCAUCCUCACUGACGUCAGUCAGUACAUUAAUUUUUGAAAGACUUUUUUUUUUCCUCUGGGGUCCCAGAAGGACCUGUGGGACACACUUUAUAUCAGGAAGAAUCAGAUUAACCUUUAAAGCCACUGCACACUCAGUGCUACUGAGUUCAUGUAUUGCUUCACAUACAUACUUUUAACUGGGGGUAUUUUAUGCACGUCUAGUUUGCAACUAAACAAGCAUUCCAUGGGGGAAGAGAAGUCCUGGUGUUAUAGAAACAUGCAAAUAUUUGAACAUAAACAUUCUUAUGGUAGUCCUGCAAAUGAGUUGGUUUUUUUUUUUUUUUUUUUUGCUGUGAAAUUAGUGGCCAUGAAGCUUAUGCUCAUCAUGUCUAGAACUGGUGCAAUUCAGCUCUACUGACAGUGGCAUCUGCAAAGGCAGCUUAAUGAGCAGAUGAAAAACUGAAUAUAAAUUAGAAGAUUCACCCAAGGCAUUAAAAUCAUUAAGAAUAUAGUAGAAUUAUAUGCACGGGACUCGAGCAUUCUGACAGAUCUCGACAACCAGGG